CAUUUAUAUUUUUGCCCACCUCAUUAUUAUCACUUAGACGAUAAAUAUCAAAUUAUAGUGAGCAGAUUGUACCGCACCACAGCCGUCCAAAAUGUAACACUCUUAAUAAGCCUAGCUGAGAUACAAUUUUUAGUGUGAAUGAAGCUAUUUU